GUUGCUGAGGCGCGAUGUGAUCUAGCGAUUUGCUUUAAACAUUAGCUCUUGUUGUAUUGGAAUUUGGCCUUAGGUGCUUCGGCUUAACGAUAACAGCUUGACAGGAGAGGAGUUUUCCCUUCUGCUUUGCAAGUCUGCAGAGGAAAGACAAUGCUCAAUCAGAAAAGGAAAACAUUUGAUAGGGAAGUAGCAGAUUGGAUAGGAGAAACAGGUUAGUGACUAUGAGAAAUUUAAGCUGCAUCAUUCAAGCUCUUCAUUACUUAACUGAUUUGUUUUUGACAUGUCUCAACCACACAAUAGUGGUAUUGUUUUGCCAAGAUUUCUAAUUUAGUGUAUCCAUCUGGAAUUAAUUAGCUGGUAACGGAAGUUAGUGUGAUAUUUAAUUUUUUGCCACUAUUUAAGGGGUGCAAUUAACCCCUCUCACAUUCAUCCCUCUCACAUAGUGGCAAUUCACCUUGUAAGGAUGGUAAAUAGUUAAUUAUACCUAGUGAACAGCACACAUUGAAUUUUUGACUGUAUGUUCUGUACUGUUCUGUCCAAUAGAUUUAGCAGCUGGUGACUGUAGAAAUAUGUUUGAUAAAUUACUCUACAUUGUUUUGUGUAUGUCAUGAUAUAAUCUCUUCCUAGUCUCCAAUGUAUUUCUUGUACGUCACUCUGUUUUUGCACAUCGAAGUGAUUGCUUCUAAAAUAAAACAAACAAUCUCUGAAAAAAAAAUGUUUACUCAAGCAUCCAAGUGCCAUUCUUGAAUGUGGUAUGCUGAGAAGAGGAGCAAUGCCACUACAGAUGUGUUGGUAUACUGGAGAUGCGUGAAUAGGAGAAUGAUUGAACGUGCAAGUGAAAUCGGAUGAUACCUUGAAGUUGGGAGCGUGGUUCUAUGAUGCAAUCGAGCUGAGCAUUUACUGAGGUUAUUUGUGAUGUCUAACCAAACUUUGUUGUUGUGUUUCUUGUAAGUAAGUCAAGUAUCUGGAAAUUGUUUGUUGAACCAAAGUUUUCUGAAGCUCACCACAAUCCUAAGCAGUUUAUAUUCAUAUGCAAGUUGUCUUGGUCUGAACAAGUUGUUAUUCUAUUAUUGAUUUUGCAAGACAAGCCUUGAAUUUGUGGCCCGCUCAAGUUUGACAAGCAAGUUAUAAAAUUCCUACCACAAUUGAAGAUAUCUUUGUCCUAUUUACCUGACAUGUGGAUUGUGGAAUGGAAAAACUGCUGAACACUACUUGGAAAGAUUACCCCACCAUGUAUUUCACGGGUCAAGCUAAAAUGUGGUUACAAUCUGUAGAAAAUAAGGUAGAGAGUAUGAAUUGGGAUGAGUUCUGUGACUUUGUGUGUCUUAGGUUUGGUAAAAGAUGCAGUAUCAGGCACUGAUCCGGCGCUUAACUCAUGUGAAGCAGACUGGAUCGGUUCAGGACUACAUUGAGAAUUUAAAUACCCUAAUGCACCAAAUGCUAGCACACAACCUCAAGCAGCACGCCUGAGUUUCCCCUUUCGUCACUGAUUUGCUCGGUUUUUUAGUGCCACCGUGCGUCGUCGACGAUGUGGCGCCGGCACAGAGCGCGUCGCCGAGCUGCUGAGCGGCAACGCUUGGUUGCAGAGGAUAACAUAAUGUGCCUGGCAACCCUAGCGAGCAUGGGUGAGGAGGAGAAUGAAGAACGUGUAUACAUUGGUUCUGUUCCUGGUCGUCGGACCAUUCCACGCGAUCAGUACAGCGGUUAUGUACGAUUGAUGGAAGAUUAUUUCGUUGCAAAUCCAGUGUAUGGGGAAAACUUGUUCCGUCGCAGGUUUGUUGAUCCCAAUUACCUAACCUUUUGCCUGCCAAUCACCAAGUUUAGCUCAUGAUUUUGGUUAUGUUUUCCUGCAGGUUUCGAAUGAGACGGACAAUGUUUGAUGACAUAUUGGCUCGUGUCCAACAAAGAAAUGUAUACUUCAGACUUUGACACAAUGCAGCCGGUCAGGCUGGGUUUCAUCCAAUUCAGAAAGUUACAGCUGCUUUGAGAUUACUUGCAUAUGGAGGGUCGGCGGAUCGGCUUGAUGAGUAUAUUCGCAUGGGCGAGAGCACGAUCAUGGAAACCUUGCAGCACUUUACUCGUACAAUUGUCGACAGCUAUGGUCCAGAGUUCUUAAGGCAGCCAAAUGACAAUGAUAUUACCAAACUUCUUGCUGUAGGAGAACAAAGGGGAUUUUCGGGAAUGCUCGGAAGUAUAGAUUGUAUGCAUUGGGAAUGGGAGAACUGCCCUACAGCUUUACAAGGUCAAUAUCAAGGUCAUUUCAAGAAACCAACACUAAUUUUAGAGGCAGUGGCAAGUCAUGACUUAUGGAUAUGGCACGCGUUUUUCGGAAUGCCGGGUUCUUGUAACGACAUAAAUGUGCUGCACCGAUCCCAUGUAUUUGAUAGGAUUUCUAGUGGGACUGAUCCUGAAGUUCAUUAUGUUGUCAAUGGUAGAGAGUAUAAUUUGGGGUACUACUUAGCAGAUGGAAUAUACCCACCAUGGGCAACUCUUAUAGGUGGUGUUUCAAUUCCGAAAUCUAAUAAGCAGAAAUUAUUUACAGAUUUGCAAUCUGCUUACCGAAAAGAUGUUGAGUGCGGGUUUGGUAUGCUUCAAGCUAAGUUCCAUAUCAUUAAAAGGCCCUCAAAGAUUUGGUCACCUGAGGACAUGAAGUUUAUAGUUGAUUGUGUGAUCAUUUUGCACAACAUGGGAAUCAAAUUUGAGCAAGAUGUUAGCCAAUUGCAUAUUGAGGACUAUGAGGGUGCUACACAACCAAACAUCUCUGCUAAUAGAAAUGUACCAGAAGUCGAAGCUCUGAUCGAUGCUCACCGGCGCAUAAGAAGCCGACUGGCCAACGAACAACUCAAGUUAGAUUUGGUAGAACAUGUUUGGAACCAUUACGGGAGAAGCUAGGAAUGUAGUAGAACGGUUUAUGUACUCUCUAAUUGUAGAAGAAUGUUAAUUGUA